AUUGUGAUUAACUCCCUCAUCCAUUCACGCCGAACCCGGAAGUGAGAAUCGGUUGUCACGUGACGUGCUUGUUGCGUGAGUGAACGUGGUUACUAAGGAACCAAUAUAAACAUUGUACGAUCGACCUCAUAGUAGUCCGUGCAGUGUGUAGAUGUGAAGUAUGUGUGGCUAUUUCUUAUUUCCAUAUGUAGGACAUAUAAUUCUAAACAAAAUCACUUAGUG